rnacentral:rRNA from 1 species
CAAUAGCAUAUAUUAACGUUGUUGCAGUUGAAAAGCUCGUAGUUGAACUUUUGGUUGGAGCGACCUGGCCUUGGGCGCAUGCCCUUGUUUGCCGUGUGUCGUAUCUGGCCAUCCUUUUCCGUUUCGGCGGGAAUCUUUUACUGUGAGUAAACUGGAGUGCUCAAAACAAGACGUUUGUUUGGUACAUUAAAGCAUGGAAUAAUAAGAUAGGACCUGGUUACUAUUUUGUUGGUUUGCAUAGCUAGGUAAUGAUUAACAGGGACAGUUGGGGGUAUUCGUAUUUAAUUGUCAGAGGUGAAAUUCUUGGAUUUAUGAAAGACGAACGACUGCGAAAGCAUUUACCAAGGAUGUUUUCAUUAA